rnacentral:rRNA from 1 species
GACGAACGCUGGCGGCGUGCUUAACACAUGCAAGUCGAACGGAAAGGCCCUGCUUUUGUGGGGUGCUCGAGUGGCGAACGGGUGAGUAACACGUGAGUAACCUGCCCUUGACUUUGGGAUAACUUCAGGAAACUGGGGCUAAUACCGGAUAGGAGCUCCUGCUGCAUGGUGGGGGUUGGAAAGAUUCGGCGGUUGGGGAUGGACUCGCGGCUUAUCAGCUUGUUGGUGGGGUAGUGGCUUACCAAGGCUUUGACGGGUAGCCGGCCUGAGAGGGUGACCGGCCACAUGGGGACUGAGAGACGGCCCAGACUCCUACGGGAGGCAGCAGUGGGGAAUAUUGCACAAUGGGCGGAAGCCUGAUGCAGCAACGCCGCGUGCGGGAUGACGGCCUUCGGGUUGUAAACCGCUUUCGCCUGUGACGAAGCGUGAGUGACGGUAAUGGGUAAAGAAGCACCGGCUAACUACGUG